rnacentral:lncRNA from 1 species
AGGCUGCCAUGUUGAGUGAGGAACUCUAAGGACCUACUAGGCGGGGUCGGGUUUUGCUUAGGCAAGAAAAGCGGAGAGGAUCCCCACGAAAAUUCUGAAACCGGGGGAUCUCGGCGCGCAUUUUACUUCACCUAAGCGGCUGGCUUGGCUCCCUCUUUUUUUUCUCUCUCCCUCUCUACCGGCUGCCAUGCUGGGUGAAAAACUCUAAGGACCUACUAGGCGGGUCGGGUUUUGCUUAGGCAAGAAAAGCGGAGAGGAUCCCCACGAAAAUUCUGAAACCGGGGGAUCUCGACACGCAUUUUACUUGACCUAAGCGGCUGGCUUGGCUCCCUCUUUUUUUUCUCUCUCCCUCUCUACAGGCUGCCAUGUUGGGUGAGAAACUCUAAGGACCUACUAGGCGGGUCGGGUUUUGCUUAGGCAAGAAAAGCGGAGAGGAUCCCCACGAAAAUUCUGAAACCGGGGGAUCUCGGCGCGCAUUUUACUUGACCUAAAGCGGCUGGCUUGGCUCCCUCUUUUUUUUCUCUCUCCAUCUCUACCGGCUGCCAUGCUGGGUGAAAAACUCUAAGGACCUACUAGGCGGGUCGGGUUUUGCUUAGGCAAGAAAAGCGGAGAGGAUCCCCACGAAAAUUCU